AUGACACUAGUGUUAACGCCGAGCGGCCCGUCACAGGAAGCAAAAGCAGCGGGGUGGUGGCUGAUUGGCGACGGACGGCUGAGAAUGGCGACGGCGACGGAGUUGGACUCCGGUGGCGGCUCGAAGAGGCGGCGGACGGGCGAGGGAGGGGAGCGAGCGCAUCCAGGCGCGGGAGCGGCGGAGGAGGACAGUUUUUCGUCGCUGCCGGAGGCGCUGCGGCUGCACAUCCUCGGCCUCCUCCCGUUCAAAUCCGCCGUUCGCACGGGCGCGCUCUCCACCGGGUGGCGCGCGCUCUGGGCGCACCGCUGGCCGGCGCCCUCCUCGCUCGACCUCCGCCUCAAGACCCACGCGCCCCCGCCGCCGAUCCUCGAGUCCCUGGAGCGGCGCGGCCGGCGACGCCUCGACCGGUUCUCCCUGACGUUCCAGAUCGGCAAGGGGGACCUCAAGCCCGACGGCGUCCACCGCGUCCUGGACUACGCCGCCGCCUGCUCCGUCGCCGACCUCCACGUGGACUUCGCCCACCGGACCCUGGGCUUCAUUUUCAAGCUCCGCCUCCCUCAGGGCGACCCCCACCUCACGCGCCUCACCGUCGGCGACAUUCGCGUCGGCCUCUCCAAGCCCUUCUCCGCCCGCUCCCACACCUUCUCCGUCCUCGAGGUCAUCUGCCUCGAGGGCGUCACGCUCUCCGACCACACCGUCGAGAACCUGGUCGCCGCGUGCCCACUCCUCCGCACCCUCGACCUGCGCUACUGCGAUGGCCUCGAUUUCGUCAACGUCGAGACCGCCGGGCCUGAGGAGCCUCACCGUCGCGGAGUGCAGAGGGGUGAGAGACAUUUCUACCAUGGAGGCGCCCAGCCUUCGCUCCUUCCGCUACAGCGGCUCCUACAUCCGCGCCCUAACAAUCCCUGCCACCUGCGCGCUCGCCGACCUUUACCUAUGCUUCGGCGGACCUGCUGGUCGCCUCCGGCCUCUAGGCACCCCAGUCUGUUUCGAGUCUGCUUGGCCUGCAGGGGUGCCAAGAAAUUGGCUUCAGGCACUCACCAGCCUCUCAAACCUGACCGUGCUCACCCUCUGCAGCAGUGCCCUGCGGAGAGUGUCUGCCGAGGCUCGUGA
rnacentral:rRNA from 1 species